UACGGAGGGUGCAAGCGUUAUCCGGAUUCACUGGGUUUAAAGGGUGCGUAGGCGGGCAGGUAAGUCCGUGGUGAAAUCUCUGAGCUUAACUCAGAAACUGCCAUGGAUACUAUUUGUCUUGAAUAUUGUGGAGGUAAGCGGAAUAUGUCAUGUAGCGGUGAAAUGCUUAGAUAUGACAUAGAACACCAAUUGCGAAGACAGCUUACUACACAGUUAUUGACGCUGAGGCACGAAAGCGUGGGGAUCAAACAGG
rnacentral:rRNA from 1 species